CUCUUUUCGAUUUAUUAUACUUUAUCGUUGUUAUUCUCGUGUUCUGAUUGCUUGACGUGUGGUAAUUAGCAGAUAUCCGGGUCCUCUGGGAAAUUAGGGUUUUCCUAGUUUCAUUAUUUAAACGGAAAUCGACAGUGCGAAUUUCGGUUCCCACAUUCAUCCUUGGUGUCUGAACCUUCCUUUAGAAGCUUCUCAUCAGUGAGAAUGGAUUUAAGUCCAAGCACUCCAAAGUGAGCAAGCAUCCUCACCUUUCAUAGGGUGAAAUCACCAUCACCCUCAAACCGGUCGAUAUCCACACGUUCCUUCGAAGUCACCAUUGAACAGGUGUUUCAGCUGGAGUGGGCCUGCGUGUUCUUGGCCCAAGUCACAUCAGUAUUGCUUCUGGCCCAUCUGUCUUGCCGAAGCCCAAGCUAUGUUCACAAUGAUCAUUUCCUGGAUAAACAUAGUCGUCUCUUUUUGUUAGUUGAAUCACUACUGAUCCAAAAAUAUAGAUAGAUAUACAAGAUGGAAGAGAACAAAAAUAAACAGAGAAGAAGAAUCUCCCAUAAAAUUACCAGUAAUGGUGUUCCCGUCUAUGAGUUACUUAUUGAUUAUCAUACACCUGCGCAAGAUCACAAAAGUAGAAUUUAAAUUAGAACGAUCAAAAACAUAUGAAAACUUAAAAGAUAGAUGCGUGAAACUAAUGAGGGUGGUGUGAUAUUUAUAUAGCAAAUUAGUUUAAGUUUCUAAAUGACUUAGUUUUCAAGAGAAGCUGUGAGAUAGAAUAUCUUCAAAUAAAUUUUAAUUCAGCUCUGAGAUAGAAUAUCUUCUAAUAAAUUUUUUAAGAUAUUUUGGUUAUAAUAUAUACAUAAUUUUGGUAACUCAAAUCUUGCUAUAUAUAUAUAUAUUUAAAUAUUAAAUGCAUGAUAU